rnacentral:rRNA from 1 species
UACGGAGGGUGCAAGCGUUAUCCGGAUUCACUGGGUUUAAAGGGUGCGUAGGAGGGCAGGUAAGUCAGUGGUGAAAUCUCCAAGCUUAACUUGGAAACUGCCAUUGAUACUAUCUACCUUGAAUACCGUGGAGGUGAGCGGAAUAUGUCAUGUAGCGGUGAAAUGCUUAGAUAUGACAUAGAACACCAAUUGCGAAGGCAGCUCACUACACGAAUAUUGACUCUGAGGCACGAAAGCGUGGGGAUCAAACAGG